rnacentral:rRNA from 1 species
UAAGACAGAGGAUGCGAACGUUGCUCGGAAUUACUGGGCGUAAAGCGCGCGCAGGCGGCCUUGUAAGUCUGAUGUGAAAGCCCGGGGCUCAACCCCGGAAGCGCACCGGAUACUGCGAGGCUGGGGUCUUGAAGAGGAGAGCGGAAUUCCCGGUGUAGAGGUGAAAUUCGUAGAUAUCGGGAGGAACACCAGUGGCGAAAGCGGCUCUCUGGGCAAUGACCGACGCUGAGGCGCGAAGGCGUGGGAAGCAAACAGGAUUAGAUACCCUGGUAGUCCACGCGGUAAACGAUGACGACUGGGUGUUGCGGGUAUUAAUCCCCGCAGUGCCGAAGCCAACGCGUUAAGUCGUCCGCCUGGGAAGUACGGCCGCAAGGCUA